UCGUGUUGUUGUCUGAUGCAGCUAGCUAGCCAGUAAGCUUGAGUCAACCGAGUGUUAGCUGGCAAACGCCACAUUAUCAUUUAAAUUAUAACAAGUAGUACUAAAUUACUAUUAAGUACUAAAUACCAAAGCGCCUAAAGCAUGAGAAGAGUUACCCUGUUUGUUAACGGGACAUCUAAAAAUGGCAAGGUUGUAGCAGUAUACGGGACCUUGUCAGAUUUACUAUCCGUAGCAAGCAAUAAAUUAGGAAUCAAAGCUGUGUCUUUAUACAAUGGAAAGGGUGGUCUCAUAGAUGACAUUGCCCUUAUAAGAGAUGACGAAGUGUUGUAUGUCUCAGAAGGAGAUCCAUUUAUUGACCCUCAGAAUGAGGCCAAGGUUACAGCUGACCAGCACGGAGCACACACUGAUUGGCUGACCCUUAAUAUUGGUGGUCGUCCCUUCACCACCACCAGGAGCACCUUGGUCAGCAAGGAGCCUGAGAGUAUGCUAGCUCACAUGUUUCGAGAGAAAGAUGUGUGGGGGAACAAGCAGGAUGAGCAUGGAGCGUACCUAAUUGACCGAAGCCCUGAAUACUUUGAGCCAAUUCUCAAUUACCUGAGACAUGGUCAGCUCAUUAUCAAUGAAGGCAUAAAUAUACGAGGUGUCCUCGAGGAGGCUCGGUUCUUUGGAAUUGAGCAGCUUACUGAACAGCUGGAAGCAGCAAUCAAGAACACUCAGCCGGCUGAGGACCACUCUCCCAUUUCCCGCAAGGAGUUUGUUCGUUUUCUUCUGGCAACUCCCACCAAGUCAGAGCUCCGCUGUCAGGGUCUUAACUUCAGUGGGGCGGAUCUGUCCCGACUGGAUUUACGCUACAUCAAUUUCAAGAUGGCUAAUCUGAGCCGCUGCAAUCUGACACAUGCCAACCUGUGCUGCGCCAACCUGGAGCGGGCCGAUCUGUCUGGAGCCAACCUGGACGUAAGCCUGAAAACCUUUUUUCUUGAAAGCAAUAAAUGAUCCACAUGCAGUAUAAACCUCUCUAAAAUCUCACUGUGGGGAAGUGAACGUUACUGUGAGGGUUGGGUGUCAUUCUUGUGAUAUUUUUAUUUGUUGGCUGGUGAACAAUGGACUGCUUUUUCCUCCAUUUUACACCUCCUGCCCUCUCAAUUGUGUGGAGGAAGGGCCCCUAUGUUCUUAAACAUGUUUGCCAAUGGCUCACACCUACUCACAUUCACCCUAUUAAAAAAAGCAAUACUCACAAUGAUUUAUCUACGGAUGAUUUCCUAAAUGUUUUCUUUAAAAGUCUCUAUUUAUUAGUCAAAAACCUAAAGACACUCAGUUGAUUAUGAAAUAAAUCAGAGAAAAGCAGAACAUCUCCGUAUUUGAAAGGAUAACAAAAGGACUUAAAGGACAGCUCUAGUAAGUUUACAUGCAUUCAUUGUAGGGGUGUUUCUCAAUGUGUGCUCUAAUAGAACAUUAUGAGCAGGGGUGCACAUAACUCUUUUGCCCUGGUUCUCAAAGGAGCACCUGGAGAUGUUGCUUGGUGCUCAUCCUUAAAAUGAAAUAAACCAUAACUUUUGUGGGGGUCUUGACUUUAUGUGCCAGACACACGGCACUGAACACACGUGCAGAGGUGAACACAGAACACACAUGCAGAGGUGAACACAAGACAACAUUAGCACGACCAGUAAUCCUACAAGCUGUCAUC